AUCAAUCCACCACUCGUCGUACGGUUUCUAUUUUUCUCCUAAACCGCACCGACCCGCAUCGCACACACCCCUAAUUGUGAUCGUUGAGGGAAACUGGGAGUUCCCCUUAGUGCUGAUAGGGUUUGGCCCAUACCUAAGGCCUUCGGCCGACCAGGUUGAGAUCCUAUCUCUUUUUUGUUUUUGUUCAGCAUUUUCUUUUUAUAGUUUUGAUUUCUUCGUGUACUGUAGUAAUAAACUCUUUCGCCUUCCCCCUCUGGCACAAAUUCUGUAGUCUUUUCUCAUCCUAGUGAGUGAGAGGAUUAGGUCAAUAUCCCCUUCCCCUAACAAGCUUAGGCUUAUAGAGGCCCUUCUGAACAAAGAGGCCAAGGUCGAAAAUCUCAUGUCCUUCUUUCGUACGUGCCUCACUACGGCAGUGUUGUCAGUACUGAAGACAAGCCUUUCAAAACUGACAGCAAUGUUGACUUCAAUUUGCUCUCCCAUCUUCGUGACGACAUUGAGGAGGAGCUAGAGGUUGAAGAGGAUCUAGAGAUCAAGAAAGAACAAAUCUAAGAGGACCUUGUUGAUUCGGAGGCCAGUCUCUAAAAUCAUGCCAUCGAAGAAUUUCUUGGCAAUCCUAGCUAACAAGACAUGUUAGAAUGAUGGUGGAUCACCAUCCACUACUUUGGCAGCAUUCGGAUAGUCGUCGAUCAUUGUGAUUAAGGAUGCCUCUCUUGCUCCUUCUUCUAUUGCAGCCGUCCCCGAUCCUCCUCCUACUGAAUAGAGUUCUGGUAAGCGUGUUACCGAACAAUCUCCAAAGGGGCAUAAGAAGGCUGAAUUGAUCUUUCUUCCGUUCUUGCUGUUGUAUCUUCUCAAGAGGCAGGCUCUUCUAGUUCUCUGCUUAUUUUGAUGCCUACUUUGAAAGAUUGGCCUCUCACCAGUACUGAUACUGCAAUGGGUGAUGCUGAAUUGGCCACCGCUCUGGUCCGUAACUUAUUUCUUCAUGUAGAUAAGGGUCAGUUGCGAGACCAGUCUAAUACGGUCAUCUUCUUCUAGGCCUAAGACUUUUCUUUGGUGGGUCUUUGUUCUGCUCAUGAGGCCAUGUGUCACCAUGACAAGUUCAUCCGAGCUUCCGACAAGCUCAAGUCCUCCAAAGAAAGGCAAGAUGAGAGAGUGAAGGUGCUGGAGGUUAGGCUAGUGGCUUCUGAGGCAAUGCAAUAAAGACGGAGAAAAAACUUCUGACAAUGGACAUCGUGCUAAAGUCUUUUGCCAAAGAGAUUGCCAUCUUGAAGGAAGAAAGAUAUCAAUUUUUUACUGCUCUCAAUGCAUCUAAGGCUGAUCAUGAUGUAGCCAUUAAAGCUGCAAAGGAUGAAGAUGCAACAAGGUUACAGCCAGAUAUGAAGAGUAGUUCACCAAGCUAGAGAACAUCUUUUUUGAAGAUGGAUGGAUGACUGCUUUCUAUGCUGUUGACAUUCCAGAUGGGUCCGAGCUGAGGAAGAAUAUCCCCUACCCUCGACUUGAGGUGUUAGAGAAGCCAAUUGAGAAGGUUGCUGAAGCUGGAGAAGACCCCCUUGCAACAAUCUGAAAAAACUUUGUUUUUCUUUCUUCUUCUUAUUUAUUUAUUUAUUUAUUAUUAUUAUUAUUUUUGUCUGGGAUGGAAUCGUAAAAAUCUUUAUGUAAACAUUGUUUUAUGAUUUUUUGAAUAUGAAUUUCCUUAUUGUUCUA